UACGGAGGGAGCUAGCGUUGUUCGGAAAUACUGGGCGUAAAGCGCACGCAGGCGGAUUGAUAAGUCAGGGGUGAAAUCCCGGAGCUCAACUUCGGAAUUGCCUUUGAUACUGUCUGUCUUGAGUCCGGGAGAGGAGAGUGGAAUUCCCAGUGUAGAGGUGAAAUUCGUAGAUAUUCGCAAGAACACCAGUGGCGAAGGCGGCUUACUGGUCCGGUUCUGACGCUGAGGCGCGAAAGCGUGGGGAGCAAACAGG
rnacentral:rRNA from 1 species